rnacentral:rRNA from 1 species
AGAGUUUGAUCCUGGCUCAGGACGAACGCUGGCGGCGCGCCUAACACAUGCAAGUCGAACGGAGCAUUGAGAGCUUGCUUUUAAUGCUUAGUGGCGAACGGGUGAGUAACGCGUGAGUAACCUGCCCUGGAGUGGGGGACAACAGUUGGAAACGACUGCUAAUACCGCAUAAGCCCACGAUCCGGCAUCGGAUUGAGGGAAAAGGAUUUAUUCGCUUCAGGAUGGACUCGCGUCCAAUUAGCUAGUUGGUGAGGUAACGGCCCACCAAGGCGACGAUUGGUAGCCGGACUGAGAGGUUGAACGGCCACAUUGGGACUGAGACACGGCCCAGACUCCUACGGGAGGCAGCAGUGGGGGAUAUUGCACAAUGGGGGAAACCCUGAUGCAGCGACGCCGCGUGGAGGAAGAAGGUUUUCGGAUUGUAAACUCCUGUCGUUAGGGACGAUAAUGACGGUACCUAACAAGAAAGCACCGGCUAACUACGUGCCAGCAGCCGCGGUAAAACGUAGGGUGCAAGCGUUGUCCGGAAUUACUGGGUGUAAAGGGAGCGCAGGCGGACCGGCAAGUUGGAAGUGAAAACUAUGGGCUCAACCCAUAAAUUGCUUUCAAAACUGCUGGCCCUUGAGUAGUGCAGAGGUAGGUGGAAUUCCCGGUGUAGCGGGGGAAUGCGUAGAUAUCGGGAGGAACACCAGUGGCGAAGGCGACCUACUGGGCACCAACUGACGCUGAGGCUCGAAAGCAUGGGUAGCAAACAGGAUUAGAUACCCUGGUAGUCCAUGCCGUAAACGAUGAUUACUAGGUGUUGGAGGAUUGACCCCUUCAGUGCCGCAGUUAACACAAUAAGUAAUCCACCUGGGGAGUACGACCGCAAGGUUGAAACUCAAAGGAAUUGACGGGGGCCCGCACAAGCAGAGGAGUAUGUGGUUUAAUUCGAAGCAACGCGAAGAACCUUACCAGGUCUUGACAUCCGAUGCAUAGUGCAGAGAUGCAUGAAGUCCUUCGGGACAUCGAGACAGGUGGUGCAUGGUUGUCGUCAGCUCGUGUCGUGAGAUGUUGGGUUAAGUCCCGCAACGAGCGCAACCCUUAUUGCCAGUUACUACGCAAGAGGACUCUGGCGAGACUGCCGUUGACAAAACGGAGGAAGGUGGGGAUGACGUCAAAUCAUCAUGCCCUUUAUGACCUGGGCUACACACGUACUACAAUGGCGUUUAACAAAGAGAAGCAAGACCGCGAGGUGGAGCAAAACUCAAAAACAACGUCUCAGUUCAGAUUGCAGGCUGCAACUCGCCUGCAUGAAGUCGGAAUUGCUAGUAAUCGCGGAUCAGCAUGCCGCGGUGAAUACGUUACCGGGCCUUGCACACACCGCCCGUCA